AUGAAAAUCAGUGGUUGGAAGGAAAAGCUGUUAUCAGCAGGAGGAAAGGAAAUCCUUCUCAAAUCGGUUGUACAAGCUAUCCCAACUUAUGCAAUGUCCGUCUUUAAAAUUCCUAAAAAAAUAUGUAAAGGAAUCAUUGACGCGAUGGCGCACUUUUGGUGGGGUGAUGAAGACAAUCAGAAGAGAAUGCAUUGGAUGGCUUGGUGGAAGAUGUGUGUACCAAAAGACCAAGGAGGAAUGGGUUUUCGAGACAUACAUUGUUUCAAUCUGGCCUUGUUAGCCAAACAAGUGUGGCGCCUGCUUGAUAAUCUUGAUUCCCUAUGUGCCACCAUUUUGAGAGCUAAAUAUUUCCAGAUGGAGAUUUAA
rnacentral:rRNA from 1 species